rnacentral:rRNA from 1 species
GUGAGGAAUUUUCCGCAAUGGGCGAAAGCCUGACGGAGCAAUGCCGCGUGAAGGAUGAAGGCCUAUGGGUUGUAAACUUCUUUUCUCAGAAAAGAAUUAUGACGGUAUCUGAGGAAUAAGCAUCGGCUAACUCUGUGCCAGCAGCCGCGGUAAGACAGAGGAUGCAAGCGUUAUCCGGAAUGAUUGGGCGUAAAGCGUCUGUAGGUUGUUUAAAAAGUAUUCUGUCAAAGAUUAGGGCUUAACCCUAGAUAGGCAGAAUAAACUUUUAAGCUAGAGUUUGGUAGAGGCAGAGGGAAUUCCCGGUGGAGCGGUGAAAUGCGUAGAUAUCGGGAGGAACAACAAAGGCGAAGGCACUCUGCUGGGCCAAUACUAACACUGAGAGACGAAAGCGAGGGGAGCAAAUGGGAUUAGAUACCCUGGUAGUCC